rnacentral:rRNA from 1 species
GCGGCGAAAUGCGAUAAGUAAUGUGAAUUGCAGAAUUCAGUGAAUCAUCGAAUCUUUGAACGCACAUUGCGCCCCUUGGUAUUCCGAGGGGUAUGCCUGUUCGAGCGUCAUUACAACCCUCAAGCAUUGCUUGGUAUUGGGUUUCGCUGCUCACCCAGCGAGCCUUAAAAUCAGUGGCGGUGCCAUCCGGUCCUGAGCGUAGUAAAUCUCCUCGCUACAGAGAUCAGAUAGAUACUAGCCAUUAACCCCCAACUUUCUAAGUUUGACCUCGGAUCAGGUAGGGAUACCCGCUGAACUUAAGCAUAUCAAUAAGCGGAGGAAAAGAAACCAACAGGGAUUGCCUUAGUAACGGCGAGUGAAGCGGCAACAGCUCAAAUUUGAAAUCUGGCUCUCUUAGGGUCCGAGUUGUAAUUUGUAGAAGAUGCUUCGGGUGUGGCUCCGGUCUAAGUUCCUUGGAACAGGACGUCAUAGAGGGUGAGAAUCCCGUAUGUGACUGGCUGCCUUCGCCUAUGUGAAGCUCUUUCGACGAGUCGAGUUGUUUGGGAAUGCAGCUCAAAAUGGGUGGUAAAUUUCAUCUAAAGCUAAAUAUUGGCCAGAGACCGAUAGCGCACAAGUAGAGUGAUCGAAAGAUGAAAAGCACUUUGGAAAGAGAGUUAAACAGUACGUGAAAUUGUUGAAAGGGAAGCGCNUGCAACCAGACUUGCACUUGGUCGAUCAUCCGAGGUUCUCCCCGGUGCACUCGAUCAUGUUCAGGCCAGCAUCGGUUCAGGUGGUGGGAUAAAGGCUUUGGGAAUGUAGCUUCUUUCGGGGAGUGUUAUAGCCCUCGGUGCAAUGCCGCCUACCUGGACCGAGGACCGCGCUUCGGCUAGGAUGCUGGCGUAAUGGUU